rnacentral:rRNA from 1 species
UACGUAGGGGGCAAGCGUUGUCCGGAAUCAUUGGGCGUAAAGCGCGUGUAGGCGGCCAGGUAAGUCCGUUCUGAAAGCCCGGGGCUCAACCCCGGGAGGCGGAUGGAUACUGCCUGGCUCGAGUCCGGAAGAGGCGAGUGGAAUUCCCGGUGUAGCGGUGAAAUGCGCAGAUAUCGGGAGGAACACCAAUGGCGAAGGCAGCUCGCUGGGACGGUACUGACGCUGAGACGCGAAAGCGUGGGGAGCAAACAGG